rnacentral:rRNA from 1 species
UAUUGCGCAAUGGAGGCAACUCUGACGCAGCCAUGCCGCGUGCAGGAAGAAGGCGCUACGCGUUGUAAACUGCUUUUAUCCGGGAAGAAACCCCAGGACGUAUCCUGGGUUGACGGUACCGGAGGAAUAAGCACCGGCUAACUUCGUGCCAGCAGCCGCGGUAAUACGAAGGGUGCAAGCGUUAUCCGGAUUCAUUGGGUUUAAAGGGUGCGUAGGCGGGACAGCAAGUCAGCGGUGAAAUCCCGUGGCUUAACCACGGAAUUGCCGUUGAUACUGCUGUUCUUGAGUACGCUUGACGUGGGCGGAAUGUGCCGUGUAGCGGUGAAAUGCUUAGAUAUGGCACAGAACACCGAUAGUGAAGACAGCUCACGAAGGCGAAACUGACGCUGAGGCACGAAAGCGUGGGGAUCAAACAGG